rnacentral:rRNA from 1 species
CCUACGGGUGGCAGCAGUGGGGAAUAUUGGACAAUGGGGGGAACCCUGAUCCAGCCAUGCCGCGUGUGUGAAGAAGGCCCUCGGGUUGUAAAGCACUUUCAGUGAGGAAGAACGCCUGGUGGUUAAUACCCAUCAGGAAAGACAUCACUCACAGAAGAAGCACCGGCUAACUCCGUGCCAGCAGCCGCGGUAAUACGGAGGGUGCGAGCGUUAAUCGGAAUUACUGGGCGUAAAGCGCGCGUAGGUGGCUUGAUAAGCCGGUUGUGAAAGCCCCGGGCUCAACCUGGGAACGGCAUCCGGAACUGUCAAGCUAGAGUGCAGGAGAGGAAGGUAGAAUUCCCGGUGUAGCGGUGAAAUGCGUAGAGAUCGGGAGGAAUACCAGUGGCGAAGGCGGCCUUUUGGACUGACACUGACACUGAGGUGCGAAAGCGUGGGUAGCAAACAGGAUUAGAUACCCGAGUAGUC